UUCACACCCUUCAUUUCACCACCUACGAGUUCUUCUCUUUGGUGCUGCCUUCUUCCACGAGUGACUAAGGGCUGGGAGGUCGAGCGGCUGAGGCUAGGAGCAUCACAGAGCUGGGGCUGCUGCAGGGGCAGGAUACAGGGUUGAGCCAGCACUCACCUGAAUGGGGGCCAAGUGGCUGCUGGAACCAGCAUCUUCAGGAAAGACAGGCGAGAACCACAGUGGCUGGUCUGCAGCCAGAAUACCUGGCCAUAGAGUGGAUGAAGGAAGGGAUCCAAGACGGAAACUAAGUGACCUACGGGAAGUUUGCAGAGGCCAUUGGAGAGGAUGGCAAGUCUGGAGGAAUUUCCUGGGCUGGUUUGGAUACUUGUGAUGCUUUGGAAGAAUUGCCUGAGGCCUCCUUCAGGGAUGGAGGAGAUCAGUAAAGGGAUUAAUUUAUACACUGGAUGGUUAGAACCUCUUUUGUGAGCUUCUAUGCUAUGGUACACUAGAUCUGCCUGCAAUAACAAACAACAGGGAGCAGCCCAGAUCUCAGUUCCUGACGGGCUCCGUGGUGGGAGAGAGAACAAACGUUACAAAAAGCCAGCCCAGGCUAGGGCCGUGUUUAACAAGGAGCAAGCUCAUUCCAGUGGACGGAGCCUUGAAUGUUCUCCAGCAGCUGCGGGUCUGGAGGGCUCAACAAUAAGUCCUUCCAAGAGGAGGUCAUGCACUUUGGUAGAUGUUACCCCAGGUACUCUAUCCUGCUCCCAGAGGCUAAUGAACGGUGAGAGGAGGUGAUGGGGAGAUGCUGGGGGCACAGAGCGAAGAAAGGUUCGAGUAAUAUCAGGAAGGAGUCAGCGACCAAGGCUCUAAACCACCAUGCUUUCAGGUUGGACCUGGGCUCUGCAACUGGCUCGUGACCUUGAGCAAGUUCAUUAAUCACAUGCACUGAGCUUCAGUUCUCAUCUUGCUUGUGGGAAAUGGAAGGAAAUCCCUAUUGAAAACAGACGGUGAACUGAGACAUUUCAAAUAUGAUAGCCACAGAUACACGGAAGUACUGC
rnacentral:lncRNA from 1 species